rnacentral:lncRNA from 1 species
CUUUUCUAUUUUUAACCACACAAUCUUCCAAAAAAUAAUAUUAUACUUAAAUCGAAAAUUUUUCAUUCUUUUUCAAUCACUCAUCUUUUAAAAAAACACUAUUCCACCUAUUUCCAUUUCCCCAAAAUGGGGGCCAAACGAAAUGGCCAGUAGUGUUUGAAGUGUGAAGAGCUCUAUUUAAUCGUGAUAUCAAUUAGAUCAAAUUAUAAAUUAACCACAAAUGAAUCGAUUACAUGUAUGCAAGUAACAACUUGAUUAGCCAUUAAUUACCUAAUAGGGAUGCAUGAGAUUGCUCGAGUAGGGAAGAAAAUCGAUCUUAGUAAUGAUUCAGCACCGAGAGUUUUAUCAAACUUUAUAAUUUUUGAGGCAUUCUUUGGCUUUACGGUCCACAUACCACCAAAAUAACGUCACUUCGAAGGUUGGCUUGGUAGUUAGCACAGUGGUUUCCAAAAUCUUUUCAAAAAAGAUUUUCUGCUUUACAUGGAAGUUAAGUUUGUAAUAAUUCCUACGAAAAAUUUAAAGAUGAAGAUGAAUAUUGUCCUGUACUGAAAAGAUUUCACAGUAAAUGGGAAAAAGAAGAAUAAGCAACCAUGGCACAUUGUUUUUAGUUUAAAUUAAUAAGGUUCCAGCAAAUAACUUUUUUGAUCUAUCAACUUAGGAAAUAAGCAAGCUACACUAAAAUACAACUUUUUUUUUUUUUUUUUUUGCUUAUAACUAAGAAAAAAUUAACAUUCCCAAUUAUGUAUGGAAACAAAUGCUUGCUCAGACAUAGGUUUAACUAACUUUUAAGUUCAGGCAUACAUGCUCAGCUGUAACCAGGAACCUUAAUUCAGGUGGAUUAGACAGUUAUGCAUGUUAUUAAAGAACAAAAAUAAGUAAAUAGCUUAUUAUAGUGUUCAAUCUUGUUUAGUAUUGUGUUCAAUCCUAGAUGUCACCAACAAGGGUUUUCAGCUUCUUACCAUAGAAAACACAACAACAAAGAAAUAAUUCAUAAUUAAGCAUAAUGCAGAAUUCUGUCGAGUGCACCUCAGUGAAAACACGAGGGGAUGCUCGGCUAAGAAUAUCGACCCAACUUGCUUACCAAGUGAAAGGAAGCUUAUUGCAAGAGCAGGAAAGCUAGUAAACUUCAAAAUGAAGGUGACGAAGGAUAUCAUUCAUCCCCAUAUGGAUGGGAAUGCAUGCUUUCACUUAUAAAUUCACUGCUUUGAAAAAUAUAUGCCUUCAAGUAAUUAUACUUAAAAAAUAAUGGAAUUUAGAAAUAAUAAGUUUAAGGACUAUUAAGAAGCAAAAUACACCUGUAUUUGCUCUAAGAUGUCAGAUCAUACUCAACCAUUAAUCUAUGAGCACUUGCCACUUGAUGUUGGAUAGAUGAAAUUGUUGUUGAACUUGAAGUCUUGAAAGCAACCAAGAAAAUGGUGUAGUAGAAACAUGGAUUUUUGGGACUAUUUCAGAGAUGUCAUUUAGCUUCAGUAUGAACUUUUGCAAACAAAGAAACAGUCAUAUAUGUGUCGUGCGAGUGUGUGUGUGUGGUGGGGGGUGGGGGAUGGGGGAGAGAGAGAGAGUGUGUGUGUGGAGUAGGG